rnacentral:lncRNA from 1 species
CCCCAAACCUCCCAGCCACACCUAACAGUUCAGCGUCAGUCAAGAGUAAAGACCCUAGAAUACAACCAUACUGUGUAAAACUCCAAACCUGCAUAAAGAACUUUCUCUUAACUAUUUCCCUUAGGAUAAGCAGAGGACUGAGAAGUGAGAGGAGUCUUAAAUGGAACACAAGAUGAAGUCGAGGAGCUCAUUGGUCACUGGCAGAGUGCAGCUGGUUGAAAACUAGCAGACAGAUCAGUUUCGGAUAGGGAACGAGCAGAUGGUAGAGCUCAUUGAAUUUCUUUCCCCAAGGACUGAAUUGAGGAAGGAGAAGAGGAAUGAGACAGAAAAGCCACUUUGUGUGGAAUAAAAGGCAGAUGAGCUGCCACUCACAUCAUCCCUGCCCUCAGCACAGGGUUAGACAACAGUGUGGACCCAGAGGGAGAAGGAACGUCAGCCCGGGAAGGGAGCGUGAGGCCUGUGCCUCUCCCUGAAGGUGUGCCAGAAGCUUGGCAAAAGAAAUCCCAUAUAGAAACAGUGGGAGCCUGGAGAUUGUCGGGGGAGAGUGAGGUCAUUGGAGCAUCAUUCCUUUGGAUACUGAAGAAGAUUCUGUCUUGAAGCAUGUGCUGUUAGAAAUACAAAUUCUCUGUGGUGGAAGUGACGUCAAAUGAUAGAAGGCAACUAUGAACAAGACCUCUUGCUUAGAAAGAGUUAGAAGACAGAUGGGAGGAAGGAGAAAUGAUCAGGCAGUAAAAAGUACAGAAGAAAAGCUUCACUUCUCAGGAAAUGUCUUCCCUGUGGGCAAAAGAACUUUCCAAUUGAAGAACAAAUAAUGGCAAAUAAGAUUUCAGGAAAGACACUAGAGAAGCAAAGACUGGGAACCAAUGGAAAGAGUCCCAUUUUUUACUUUGUCUAGCAUUAGUAUUCAUU